rnacentral:rRNA from 1 species
GGGAAGACUUCACGGUCUGAACUGAAGCCCCAGUGAACGGCGGCCGUAACUAUAACGGUCCUAAGGUAGCGAAAUUCCUUGUCAGGUAAAAUACAACUUGCCUGAAGACUGUGGCGACACAGUGUAAGUAAACCAACUAAUAACGGGGAAGUCCUCUGCUCUGGUCAAGAGCAAAGAUAAUCCCGUGGCAAUUCUGUCAAUUGACAGAGAAGCCGUAACGACUGAUCCGAAAGGAGAGGCGACAGUUCCUGUUGUACCGCACUUGGUGGAGCAACAAAUCUACAGCUGUCGCAAUACGCGGACCCUCACUGUUGGUGAGGUGAAGGCAUAGUCUGUCCCUCUAGCAAUAGAGGAUCGGAAGAUGAAGUUCCGACCUGCACGAAUGGCGUAACGACUUGGGUACUGUCUCAACCAGAGACUCGGUGAAAUUGCAGUGUGAGUAAAGAUGCUCACUACCUGCGGCAGGACGGAAAGACCCCGGAACCUUUACUGUAGCUUGACAUUGGAGUCUGGCGUUUGAUGUGUAGGAUAGGUGGGAGACUAGGAAGCGGUGGCGCCAGUCAUCGUGGAGUCAAUGUUGAAAUACCACCCUUCACUCGACGGCCUUCUAACCUCGGUCCAUUAUCUGGAUCAGGGACAGUGUCUGGCGGUCAGUUUCACUGGGGCGGUGGCCUCCUAAAGUGUAACGGAGGCGCCCAAAGGUUUCCUCAGUCUGGUCGGCAAUCAGACGUUGAGUGUAAAGGCACAAGGAAGCUUAACUGCGAGACCUACAAGUCGAGCAGGAACGAAAGUUGGGCUUAGUGAUCCCAUCAUGGCAUGUGGGUGCGUGAUGGCUCAUCGGCUAAAAGGUACUCCGGGGAUAACAGGCUUAUACCCCCCAAGAGUCCAUAUCGACGGGGGUGUUUGGCACCUCGAUGUCGGCUCGUCGCAUCCUGGGGCUGAAGCAGGUCCCAAGGGUCGGGCUGUUCGCCCGUUAAAGCGGCACGCGAGCUGGGUUUAGAACGUCGUGAGACAGUUCGGUCCCUAUCCGCCGCAGGCGCAGGAAAUUUGAGAGGAUUUGUCCCUAGUACGAGAGGACCGGGAUGAACAUACCGCUGGUGUGCCAGUUGUUCUGCCAAGAGCACGGCUGGUUGGCUAUGUAUGGACGGGAUAAGUGCUGAAAGCAUCUAAGUACGAAGCCCACCUCGAGAUGAGAUUUCCCAUGGAGUUAAUCCAGUAAGGGCCCUGGUAGAAGACCAGGUUGAUAGGCCGGAAGUGUAAGUACAGCAAUGUAUUCAGCUGACCGGUACUAAUUGCCCGAGGGCUUGGAUC